rnacentral:rRNA from 1 species
AACGAACGCUGGCGGCAGGCUUAACACAUGCAAGUCGAGCGCCCCGCAAGGGGAGCGGCAGACGGGUGAGUAACGCGUGGGAAUCUACCCAUCUCUACGGAAUAACGCAUGGAAACGUGUGCUAACACCGUAUACGUCCUUCGGGAGAAAGAUUUAUCGGAGAUGGAUGAGCCCGCGUUGGAUUAGCUAGUUGGUGGGGUAAAGGCCUACCAAGGCGACGAUCCAUAGCUGGUCUGAGAGGAUGAUCAGCCACACUGGGACUGAGACACGGCCCAGACUCCUACGGGAGGCAGCAGUGGGGAAUGUUGGACAAUGGGCGCAAGCCUGAUCCAGCCAUGCCGCGUGAGUGAUGAAGGCCCUAGGGUUGUAAAGCUCUUUCACCGGUGGAGAUAAUGACGGUAACCGGAGAAGAAGCCCCGGCUAACUUCGUGCCAGCAGCCGCGGUAACAC